UUAUUAGUUUUGUUUAGAAUUAGUUAAAAUCCCUACUAAGUUGCCUAAAUAUAUUUUACACAAGUCUUUUUUUGAAAAAAAUCAAAUCACUAUUUCAACAAAUUAAUCUUUUCGAAGUUAAUCAAAAGACGAUUUUCAAACAGUCCGGAUAACCGUAAGUUAGCGGACAUUUUAGGUGCCUAACACCUUCCUAAAACGUUAAU
rnacentral:lncRNA from 1 species